rnacentral:rRNA from 1 species
AACGAACGCUGGCGGCGUGCCUAAUACAUGCAAGUCGAACGAGAAAGCGGAGCAAUCCGCAAGUAAAGUGGCAAACGGGUGAGUAAUACAUAGGUAAUCUACCUUCGAGAUGGGGAUAACCUUCCGAAAGGAGGGCUAAUACCGAAUGAGACCACAGGUGCUUCGGCACUCGGGGUCAAAGAUGGCCUCUAUUUAUAAGCUAUCGCUUGAGGAUGAGCCUAUGCACCAUCAGCUAGUUGGUAGGGUAAUGGCCUACCAAGGCUUUGACGGUUAGCUGAUCUGAGAGGUUGAUCAGCCANACUGGAACUGAGACACGGUCCAGACUCCUACGGGAGCAGC